AGUGAACGCUGGCGGUAGGCCUAACACAUGCAAGUCGAACGGCAGCACAGUAAGAGCUUGCUCUUACGGGUGGCGAGUGGCGGACGGGUGAGGAAUACAUCGGAAUCUACUUUUUCGUGGGGGAUAACGUAGGGAAACUUACGCUAAUACCGCAUACGACCUACGGGUGAAAGCAGGGGAUCUUCGGACCUUGCGCGAUUGAAUGAGCCGAUGUCGGAUUAGCUAGUUGGCGGGGUAAAGGCCCACCAAGGCGACGAUCCGUAGCUGGUCUGAGAGGAUGAUCGGCCACACUGGAACUUGGACACGGUCCAGACUCCUACGGGAGGCAGCAGUGGGGAAUAUUAGACAAUGGGCGCAAGCCUGAUCCAGCCAUACCGCGUGGGUGAAGAAGGCCUUCGGGUUGUAAAGCCCUUUUGUGGGGAAAGAAAAGCAGCAGGUUAAUACCCCGCUGUUCUGACGGUACCCAAAGAAUAAGCACCGGCUAACUUCGUG
rnacentral:rRNA from 1 species